UUAGACCAUAAUAAUACUAAGCAAACUUAAUCAAAUUCAAAAAAUCCUUAAAGAAAUUUCAAACAAACAAUAAGAAUUCUUAAAGAAAUAUUAGAAGGAUCACAAAUAUCACUCAAAUACAUCUCAAUUCAAUCUUAAUUUAAUUCUAGUUAAAAUCCUAUUGAACUUCAUUCAAACUUUAGGCCAAAACUAAUUAAAUCUUAAAUCCUAAUAAAAUCCUAAACCCUAAAUCAAACCCUAAACAAAUCUUAAACUAAAUCCCAACAAAAUCCUAAAUUAAAUUCUAAUCCUAAUCCAAACCCUAAACCCUAAAUAAAACCAUAAUCAAACCCUAAAUCCUAAACUAAAUCCUAAUACAAAUCUUAAAUCAAACCUUAAUCCAACCCUAAAUCUUAACCAUAAACCAAACCCUAAUUCUAAAUCCUAAAUCAAAUCUUAAACCAAAUUCUAAUCCUAAAUCAAAUCCUAAUCCAAAUCCUAAACCCCAAACCAAACCCUAAUCAAAUCCUAAAUCCUAAAUCAAAUCCUAAUCCAAAUCCUAAUCAAACCUUAAACCAAACCCUAAACAAA
rnacentral:lncRNA from 1 species